UAGUUACUCAUAGUAAAAUUCUAUUUCUGCC
rnacentral:piRNA from 1 species